AACGCUGGCGGCAUGCCUAAGACAUGCAAGUCGAACGAAGUGGCCCAAUGAAGAACGCGAGUUACUCAAGUUUGGAUUUGGAUUCCCACUUAGUGGCGCAAGGGUGAGUAACACAUGGGUAAUCUACCUUCAAGUUUGGAAUAACAGUUAGAAAUGAUUGCUAAUGCCGAAUGAAAUUGAGAACGAUACUUCAUUCUUUAUUAAAAGGGGCCUUUAAGCCUCGCUUGAAGAUGAGCCUGUGCCGUAUUAGCUAGUUGGUGGGGUAAUGGCCUACCAAGGCAACGAUGCGUAGCCGACCUGAGAGGGUGAUCGGCCACACUGGGACUGAGACACGGCCCAGACUCCUACGGGAGACAGCAGUUAGGAAUAUUCGUCAAUGGGGGAAACCCUGAACGAGCAAUGCCGCGUGAAGGAAUGAAGGUCCUAUGGAUUGUAAACUUCUGUUGUUUGGGAAGAACGACCUGUAUAGGAAAUGAUAUAGGAGUGACGGUACCUUUCAAGAAAGCUCCGGCUAACUACGUGCCAGCCGCCGC
rnacentral:rRNA from 1 species